rnacentral:rRNA from 1 species
UACGGGGGGGGCAAGCGUUGUUCGGAAUUACUGGGCGUAAAGGGCUCGUAGGCGGCCAACUAAGUCAGACGUGAAAUCCCUCGGCUUAACCGGGGAACUGCGUCUGAUACUGGAUGGCUUGAGUUUGGGAGAGGGAUGCGGAAUUCCAGGUGUAGCGGUGAAAUGCGCAGAUAUCAGGAGGAACACCGGUGGCGAAGGCGGGUCUCUGGGCCGAUACUGACGCUGAGGAGCGAAAGCCAGGGGAGCGAACGGG